rnacentral:rRNA from 1 species
CUCUAUGGCCAUUUCACCUGGAAUAUGCCCAAUCUUGUCUGAUCUUGGAAGCUAAGCAGGGUCAGGCCUGGUUAGUACUUGGAUGGGAGUCAGCCUGGGAAUACCCAUUGCUGAAGUCU